CCCGGCUUCGCCGCCAGCCCUCCCCGCGGGGCAGCCGCAGCGCCCCAGCUCCCGUCCCCGCGAGCGCGGCAUGGCGCGGCCGGCAGCGCCGAGGGAGAGGCUCCGCUCGCCGCUGAGGAGAAAGGAGAUGAGAAACAGGCAGCCGUGGUUGAAGGUCUCUUCAUACUAUCACCCUGCAAACAAAAAAGCCCAACUACAGUAGAGUGACUUGCUAAGAUUAACCUGAUAUCCAGACAUCAUCAGUUUAUUUUGGAGAGAAAACAAAGCCUGAUGCUCUGGAGAACUCAGCCUGAUACAAAGCACUAGAAUCCUGGAUGAUGGCAGAGCCACAAAACCAAACCUGCAUCUCCAAGUAACUAUAGGAAGGAAAGCCAGCAACACCUGCAUUAAGCUAUUAUAUGAAAAAUGUCCUUCAACAAUGCUAAGCUAUUGAAAUACUGGGGUUUGUUGAAACAGCUAGUAAUACCCUUUUAUAUUCUUCCUCAUUCUUCCUCUGGUAUCCUGUGUCGUUUACUUCUCUUCACUCAUUGAUUUAUUUGUUCAUACCACAAGCGUCAAUCUCUAUGCCAGGCUCUGGGCUAGAUGCUGAGAAACAAAAACAGAGAAUAACACAUUCCCAUAGUCCCUAUCCUCACGGGUCUGAUAGUUAUUGAGUAAAUUUAAACAACAAAGCAUGAUUGAUUAUACUCAGAGUCAUACAGGUGUGUUGUAAACAAUAAAAGGAGCUCCUAGUUUAGCCUAAGGAGGAGGUGAGAAGUAAAACUUUUUGGAAAAAAAUCACAGUCAGUGAUGGGAGCUGGACAGAGUGUGAAGAAUCUGCAGUAAACCAGAAACCUAGGAUCCCAGGGUAGAGCUCAAGAGGGAACCAAACAUUGUUCUGAGAUUCUCCUGGCUCAGUAAUUGUCAGUUUUCUUAAUAGACCUCCAUCAUAGUGUACCUGCAGCUACUUAUGGUGAAAAACUUAAGGUCCCCACUGCCUGUCCUGUGCUUAGUAUUCUCUCGUCUUCAUUGACCACCUAGCCCCUGACCUUCAGCCUGCUCAGAAGUGAACUUGCCUAUUUCCAAUCUGUGUUCAGUUCUCUAGCUCAGGAAUCAGUUUCCACAUCUGCCCAGGUUCCUGAGCCAAAAACCUGGGAGUCACACUGGACGCUCCUCUCAGUCCCCACAUCAGGGCAACGGAGAGCCUUCUAAAUUCUGCUUUUGUGUCACUUCCAAAAUCCUAGCCAAGACCUCCAUUAUCUGUCUUUCAGGUUACUUAUGGCAGCUAAGUAACAGGUCACCUCCGCUCUUACCCAGUCCAGUGUCUUUCUUUCUGCCUCCAGUUACCUUUUUAAAACUCUAACCUGGCUUUACAGCUUCCCUGCCUUUCCUGGACUUACCCUAUGACCUACAAAGAAAAACCCAAGCUCCUGCUAGAUCCUCCCUGCAAAAGGAUCCAUGAUCUGACCUGCCUGCCCCUCCGACCUCAGGUUUCCUCCUUCCUGAACCCUCAUAUUGCAGCCAUUUAUACUCCUGCAAGAAGGCAUGCUUUUCUCCACCCUUCCCUUGGGAGUCUUGUGUGUGCUGACUCCACUGCCUGGAGUGCCCCGCCUCUCUUUUUCCUCCUCCUCUCCCUGUUCCUCUUCUUUCUCCUUAUCCUUCUCCUAUCCCUGACCUUCUACCAUUUGCCCUUCAAAAUUCAAAAUCCAGUGAAUAACAGCUCCAAAGAUAAUACAUACUGAAUCAACAAUUAUAAUGAUUCAAACUAACCUGUUUCAAAAUGUGGUUUCAUUGUUCUGUUUAAUCUUUCUUUCUUGUUUCUCUUUUCUUCACUUCUUUAAAAUUAAAAAAAAAAAAAAAAAAAAAAAACAACAACUCAAAAUUCAGGUGUCGGUCCUUACAAGCAAUCUUUGUCACCGCCCAAACAGUGCCUGGUACAUGACAGUUAUCCUGUGAACCUUGCAUAGAUGACCAGUGGAUGGGUG